rnacentral:rRNA from 1 species
CGGAGGAUGCGAGCGUUAUCCGGAUUUAUUGGGUUUAAAGGGUGCGUAGGCUGUUUGUUAAGUCAGCGGUGAAAUCUAGAGGCUCAACCUCGAAACUGCCGUUGAAACUGGCGAACUUGAGUGUAGAUGAGGUAGGCGGAAUUCGUGGUGUAGCGGUGAAAUGCAUAGAUAUCACGAGGAACUCCGAUUGCGAAGGCAGCUUACUAAGGUACAACUGACGCUGAAGCACGAAAGCGUGGGUAUCAAACAGGAUU